AUUGAACGCUGGCGGCAUGCCUAACACAUGCAAGUUGAACGGCAGCACGGUUGAUGCUUAGGCAUUGAUGGGUGGCGAGUAGCGGACGGGUGAGUAACGCGUAGGAAUAUGCCUUUUGGAGGGGGAUAACUUGUGGAAACGCAAGCUAAUACCGCAUGAAGUCUGAGGACUAAAGCUGGGGACCUUAGGGCCUGGCGCCUAGAGAGUAGCCUGCGUCUGAUUAGCUAGUUGGUGGGGUAAAGGCCUACCAAGGCGAUGAUCGGUAGCUGGUCUGAGAGGAUGGACAGCCACACUGGGACUGAGAGACGGCCCAGACUCUUACGGGAGGCAGCAGUGGGGAAUAUUGGACAAUGGGGGGAACCCUGAUCCAGCGAUGCCGCGUGUGCGAAGAAGGCUUGAGGGUUGUAAAGCACUUUAGACGGGGAGGAGGGUUGAUUGGUUAAGAGCUGAUUGACUGGACGGUACCUGUAGAAUAAGCACCGGCUAACUCCGUGCCAGCAGCCGCGGUAA
rnacentral:rRNA from 1 species